rnacentral:rRNA from 1 species
GACGAACGCUGGCGGUGUGCUUCACACAUGCAAGUCGAACGAGGUAGCAAUACCUAGUGGCGGACGGGUGAGUAACGCGUGGGAAUCUGCCUUUAGAUGGGGGAUAACGGGUCGAAAGACUCGCUAAUACCGCAUAUGACGAAAGUUGAAAGGAGUAAUCCGUCUAAAGAUGAGCCCGCGUCCGAUUAGCUAGUUGGUAGAGUAAAAGCCUACCAAGGCGACGAUCGGUAGCUGGUCUGAGAGGAUGAUCAGCCACAAUGGGAACUGAGACACGGCCCAUACUCCUACGGGAGGCAGCAGUGGGAAUUUACGCAAUGGGCGAAAGCCUGACGUAGCGACACCGCG